GACGUAGGGCGCGAGCGUUGUCCGGAAUUACUGGGCGUAAAGGGCUCGUAGGCGGCCAACUAAGUCAGACGUGAAAUCCCUCGGCUUAACCGGGGAACUGCGUCUGAUACUGGAUGGCUUGAGUUUGGGAGAGGGAUGCGGAAUUCCAGGUGUAGCGGUGAAAUGCGUAGAUAUCUGGAGGAACACCGGUGGCGAAGGCGGCAUCCUGGACCAACACUGACGCUGAGUGAGCGAAAGCCAGGGGAGCAAACGGG
rnacentral:rRNA from 1 species